GCCCUGGGCCUUGGUGUCCUCACUUGAAGACGGGGACCCAGUGGCUGGGGUGCCUUGGUUUGCCGUGAGGAGUAGGGCCUUCGCUCUGGUGAGCCUCCAGCUGGACUCCCCUCUUUGAGAAAUCGCUCAGUGGCCGUAUUUAUUAUGAUAACAACCGGUAUCCAGCCCCUCCCUCCCCUGAGCCCAGUCCCCUCCCCAGAGCAGGCCUGCCGCCCCUUCGGAGCACUUUCCUACCCUCCUGUGUCCCAACUUCACGACCACGUGAACACGCAUCUUCUCCCGCUGCAGGCUUUCACGGUCACCUUGGAAAAGGGUGCAAACCUGAACAACCCACAGACCACACAGAAAGUGGCCAACCUCACCCACAAUUUGAAAACUGCAAAAUAAAAUCAAUGAUGAAAUACUAUGUUUCACCUAUCAGAUAGGCAAACAGGAAAAUGCCCGACGAAGACCCGCCAGUGCUGGAGCGAGGAUAGGUGCUCUGCCCCACGGCCGUGGACGUGAAUUGAGCCAACGCCUGCAGGGAGAUUUGGUAACACCCUCAGAGCUCAAACCACCCACACCUCUGACCCAGCAAUUUCAGGUUUAGACUCUCACCAGAUCACGCCAUCCCAGGAGCUCCCCGCAGGCACCGCAAGCUCACUGCAGCGCUGCUGAAGCUGAAGACUGCCAGGGACCCCAGCGUCCCUGAACGCAAGGCAGGCUGACACGGCGGGCCACUCGGCUGCCGCAGGACCUCUCUGCUCCGCGUCCACUGCUGCAGAGCGACGCCGCAGAGGCUCAGAAGUGGGAAGAAGACACACACGCACAUUUCAACACACCCUCUACAGCCAGGGUGGCGUGCGGGCCCGUCCGAGGGGAGCGGGGAGCUGGACGGACAGCCAGCCGAUCUAUCCUCCAACGUCUGAGUCACAAUCUUCAAGACGGCCCUGCCAGUGAUUUUUGCUCAGUCAGCAGCUGUCAGUCCACAGUUCUUCUAGUCGGGCGUCUAUGAUGUCCAGCGGAACAUGAGCACAGUUCAAAAGCUCC